rnacentral:rRNA from 1 species
UACGUAGGGUGCAAGCGUUAAUCGGAAUUACUGGGCGUAAAGCGUGCGCAGGCGGUGAUGUAAGACAGGUGUGAAAUCCCCCGGCUCAACCGGGGAACGGGCGCGGAUACGACCUUCCUGGAGGGGCGUAGGGGGACCUGGAACUUCCGGUGGAGCGGUGAAAUGCGUUGAGAUCGGAAGGAACGCCCGUGGCGAAAGCGAGGUCCUGGACGCCUACUGACGCUGAGACGCGAAAGCCAGGGGAGCGAACGGG